rnacentral:misc_RNA from 1 species
GAUGAAGAACGCAGCGAAACGCGAUAAGUAAUGUGAAUUGCAGAAUCCAGUGAAUCAUCGAAUCUUUGAACGCACAUUGCGCCCGCCAGCAUUCUGGCGGGCAUGCCUGUUCGAGCGUCAUUUCAACCCUCGACCUCCCCUUGGGGAGGUCGGCGUUGGGGACCGGCAGCACACCGCCGGCCCUGAAAUGGAGUGGCGGCCCGUCCGCGGCGACCUCUGGGCAGUAAUACAGCUCGCACCGGGACCCCGACGCGGCCACGCCGUAAAACACCCAACUUCUGAACGUUGACCUCGAAUCAGGUAGGACUACCCGCUGAACUUAAGCAUAUCAAUAAGCGGAGGA